rnacentral:rRNA from 1 species
ACUAAGUGAGCUACUUUAAAGCAGCUGUUAGAGCUAACCCGUCUCUGUUGCAAAAGAGUGGGAUGACUUUUAAGUAGAGGUGAUAGACCUAUCGAACUUAGAGAUAGCUGGUUUUUUAAGAAAAGAAUUUAAGUUCAGCCCCAAGCCUUUUUGUUAAACAAAAAACCCCCUUAGGCCUGGGAGUUAUUCAAAUAGGGCACAGCUUAUUUGAAGCAGGACACAACCUAGAAUACCGGGUAAAAUAUAUUUAAUUUUUAAUAAGUGGGCCUAAGAGCAGCCACCUUUCAGAAAGCGUCAAAGCUUAAUGACAACUACCUACCUAAUAACCCCAAUGACUUUUAACCCGCACGCACUAUUAAACUAUUCCAUAAACCUAUGGAAGCUAUUAUGCUAGAACAAGUAACAUGAAAAAGAUUUCUCCAAAAUGUCAGCUUUAGCCACAAUAGACAAACUACCGGCAAUUAACGCCUCUGAGUUAAUUCUAGUAACACCAACAAGAAAACCCUAUAAACCCCAGCGUCAACCUUACACCAGCACAU